rnacentral:rRNA from 1 species
CCUACGGGUGGCUGCAGUGGGGAAUAUUGCACAAUGGGGGAAACCCUGAUGCAGCGACGCCGCGUGAGUGAAGAAGUAUUUCGGUAUGUAAAGCUCUAUCAGCAGGGAAGAAAAUGACGGUACCUGACUAAGAAGCCCCGGCUAACUACGUUCCAGCAGCCGCGGUAAUACUAAGGGGGCAAGCGUGAUCCGGUUCUACUGGGUGUAAAGGGAGCGUAGACGGCCAGACAAGUCAGAAGUGAAAGCCCAGGGCUCAACCCUGGGACUGCUUGGGAUACUGCCCGGCUGGAGUGCAGGAGAGGUAAGCGGAAUUCCAAGUGUAGCGGUGAAAUGCGUAGAUAUCAGGAGGAACACCAGUGGCGAAGGCGGCUUACUGGACUGAAACUGACGCUGAGGCUCGAAAGCGUGGGGAGCAAACAGGAUUAGAUACCCCUGUAGUC